GACGGAGGGGGCAAGCGUUGUUCGGAAUUAUUGGGCGUAAAGGGCGCGUAGGCGGACUGAUUAGUCUGGCGUGAAAUCUCCACCGCUCACCGGGGAGGGGCCGCUGGAAACUGUCAGUCUUGAGUUCGGCAGAGGGCCAUGGAAUUCCGCAUGUAGCGGUGGAAUGCGUAGAUAUGCGGAAGAACACCGGUGGCGAAGGCGGUGGCCUGGGCCGAAACUGACGCUGAGGCGCGAAAGCCAGGGGAGCAAACGGG
rnacentral:rRNA from 1 species